UACGUAGGGUGCAAGCGUUAAUCGGAAUUACUGGGCGUAAAGCGUGCGCAGGCGGUUCGGAAAGAAAGAUGUGAAAUCCCAGAGCUUAACUUUGGAACUGCAUUUUUAACUACCGGGCUAGAGUGUGUCAGAGGGAGGUGGAAUUCCGCGUGUAGCAGUGAAAUGCGUAGAUAUGCGGAGGAACACCGAUGGCGAAGGCAGCCUCCUGGGAUAACACUGACGCUCAUACACGAAAGCGUGGGGAGCAAACAGG
rnacentral:rRNA from 1 species